AGAGUUUGAUCCUGGCUCAGAGCGAACGCUGGCGGCGUGCUUAACACAUGCAAGUCGAACGCGCAGCAUUCUGUAGCAAUACAGGGUGUGGGCGCGUGGCGAACGGGUGCGUAACACGUGGAUAACCUUCCUUCAGGUGGGGAAUAACCCAGUGAAAAUUGGGCUAAUACCGCAUAACAUGACGAUGGCACAUGCUGUUGUCUUCAAAGGCGCAAGUCGCCAGAAGAGGGAUCCGCGGCCGAUUAGCUUGUUGGCGAGGUAAUGGCUCACCAAGGCAUUGAUCGGUAGCCGGGCUGAGAGGUUGGCCGGCCACACUGGAACUGAGACACGGUCCAGACUCCUACGGGAGGCAGCAGUGGGGAAUCUUGCACAAUGGACGAAAGUCUGAUGCAGCAACGCCGCGUGGGGGAUGAAGCUUUUCGGAGUG
rnacentral:rRNA from 1 species